rnacentral:misc_RNA from 1 species
GAUGAAUAGGGUGGUUUCCGGUGUAGUCACAUUGGCGUUUGUGGCUUGGACCGGUGAUUGGCUAUUUUUCCCACAGAUUAUUAGGAAUGGGUUAGACCAGAAAGCCAUUAACGAGUACUACGUUAUGGUAGAUUUGGUCAAAGAUAGGCUGCUGCCAGUUUUGGGAAUUUAAAUUUUGUUGUUAUAAGUACCCGUAUUGGGAUGGAGUUAGAUCCACACUGUUGUAGAGUAAUUCUUUAAAUUCAGCAUUUCCCACGCUAUAUAAUAUCAUAAUAUGAAAUUAC